GGGGCUUUAGCUCAGCUGGCUAGAGCGUCUCGCUUGCACCGAGAAGGUCAAGGGUUCGAAUCCCUUAAGCUCCACCA
rnacentral:tRNA from 1 species